rnacentral:ncRNA from 1 species
AUUCGAUAUCGGCAAACCCGUUGAAAGACGGGGACGCAAAGCUACUGGUCUAACGGCGCAACGCCCAUGACAGCAGGGCUGCACGC